rnacentral:rRNA from 1 species
GAUGAACGCUAGCGGCAGGCCUAACACAUGCAAGUCGAGGGGUAGAAGGAGCUUGCUCCUUUGAGACCGGCGCACGGGUGCGUAACGCGUAUGCAAUCUACCUUGUACAGGGGAAUAGCCCAGAGAAAUUUGGAUUAAUGCCCCAUAGUAUAUAACCUUCGCAUGUUGGUUAUAUUAAAGUUCCAACGGUACAAGAUGAGCAUGCGUCCCAUUAGUUAGUUGGUAAGGUAACGGCUUACCAAGACGAUGAUGGGUAGGGGUCCUGAGAGGGAGAUCCCCCACACUGGUACUGAGACACGGACCAGACUCCUACGGGAGGCAGCAGUGAGGAAUAUUGAUCAAUGGUCGCAAGACUGAACCAGCCAUGCCGCGUGCAGGAAGACGGUCCUAUGGAUUGUAAACUGCUUUUAUACAGGAAGAAACCCUCCCACGUGUGGGAGCUUGACGGUACUGUAGGAAUAAGGAUCGGCUAACUCCGUG